CCUACGGGGGGCAGCAGUGAGGAAUAUUGGUCAAUGGGCGCAAGCCUGAACCAGCCAAGUCGCGUGAGGGAUGACGGUCCUAUGGAUUGUAAACCUCUUUUGUCGGGGAGCAAGGCCCGCCACGUGUGGCGGGAAGGAGAGUACCCGAAGACAAAGCAUCGGCUAACUCCGUGCCAGCAGCCGCGGUAAUACGGAGGAUGCGAGCGUUAUCCGGAUUUAUUGGGUUGAAAGGGUGCGUAGGCGGAAGGUUAAGUCAGCGGUAAAAUGUCGGUGCGCAACACCGGCCUGCCGUUGAAACUGGUCUUCUUGAGUGAGCGAGAAGUAUGCGGAAUGCGUGGUGUAGCGGUGAAAUGCAUAGAUAUCACGCAGAACUCCGAUUGCGAAGGCAGCAUACCGGCGCUCAACUGACGCUGAGGCACGAAAGCGUGGGGAUCGAACAGGAUUAGAUACCCGAGUAGUC
rnacentral:rRNA from 1 species